rnacentral:rRNA from 1 species
CCUGGCUCAGAGUGAACGCUGGCGGUAGGCCUAACACAUGCAAGUCGAACGGCAGGCACAGAGGAGCUUGCUCCUUGGGUGGCGAGUGGCGGACGGGUGAGGAAUACAUCGGAAUCUACUCUGUCGUGGGGAUAACGGUAGGGAAACUUACGCUAAUACCGCAUACGACAUACGGGUGAAAGCAGGGGAUCUUUGGACCUUGCGCGAUUGAAUGAGCCGAUGGUCGGAUUAGCUAGUUGGCGGGGUAAAGGCCCACCAAGGCGACGAUCCGUAGCUGGUCUGAGAGGAUGAUCAGCCACACUGGAACUGAGACACGGUCCAGACUCCUACGG